rnacentral:lncRNA from 1 species
GGAAAGAACUGUAGUCAGGAGGAGUGGAGACCUGGCACCUCCAUUAGCACCCUCCCCCACCCCUCUGUCACUAGAAAACCAAGGAUUCUGGGUCAGGCCCACUCCUGCCCUCGCCUGCCCUGGGUCUCCCUGUCACACCGCCAGCCUCCACCAAGGCCAGGCCCUCGGAGACCAGCCGGGAGCACCGCCAGGCCGUCGUCAGCUAUGUCAGAGUCUGUGGCCCCAAGCAGAGGGCAACCACCAUAGGGAUGUCCUCGCUCAGAAUCUGGCCCACUCUCCCGGUAAGCAGCCAGUAAGUCCUUCCAGCUGUCUAACUUCCUUUCCUCUUGCUUCAAGCCCAGUCUCUGGUUCUGAGGAAAUGGAGUGACUCUCCCCCGUCGUGCUCCAUGGAGCCUUUCGUGGCCAACAGGUGCUGCUGUGGGUCUGGAUCAAGAAUUCACUUCCCUGGAAACUGCUGAGGUUUCUGAGGGAUACAGGGAGGGGCAAGGCGGAGAAGCGGCAGGGGGUUUCUGUGUUCAGGGCUUCAGGGACCUGGGAAAUGGUAAACCACAUGUGAUGUCCAUUUCCUGCCCUCUAACCUGGCCGGGCAGCAAGGAGGUUCCAGUCUCUUCCAACACAAACCUGCACCUUCCCCACCCCACCUCCUCUGCUCAGCUCUGGCUCACAGGGAUGUCAGCGGGGAGGGGGGGGGGGGGGAUACACACAGUAGGGCCUUGAAGGGUGUACACAGUUUGAAUAAAUGAUCCUACAGG